UACGUAGGGACCGAGCGUUGUCCGGAAUCAUUGGGCGUAAAGAGCGCGUAGGCGGCCCCUUAAGUCCUGCGUGAAAUCCUGCGGCUCAACCGCAGACGGUCGUGGGAAACUGGAGGGCUAGAGUGCGGGAGAGGAGAGUGGAAUUCCCGGUGUAGCGGUGAAAUGCGCAGAUAUCGGGAAGAACACCAGUGGCGAAGGCGGCUCUCUGGAACGCAACUGACGCUGAGACGCGAAAGCGUGGGGAGCAAACAGG
rnacentral:rRNA from 1 species